rnacentral:rRNA from 1 species
GACGAACGCUGGCGGCGUGCUUAGCACAUGCAAGUCGAACGGAAAGGCCCUGCUUUUGUGGGGUGCUCGAGUGGCGAACGGGUGAGUAACACGUGAGUAACCUGCCCUUGACUUUGGGAUAACUUCAGGAAACUGGGGCUAAUACCGGAUAGGAGCUCCUGCUGCAUGUGGGGGGUGGGAAAGUUUCGGCGGUUGGGGAUGGACUCGCGGCUUAUCAGCUUGUUGGUGGGGUAGUGGCUUACCAAGGCUUUGACGGGUAGCCGGCCUGAGAGGGUGACCGGCCACAUUGGGACUGAGAUACGGCCCAGACUCCUACGGGAGGCAGCAGUGGGGAAUAUUGCACAAUGGGCGGAAGCCUGAUGCAGCCACGCCGCGUGCGGGAUGACGGCCUUCGGGUUGUAAACCGCUUUCGCCUGUGACGAAGCGUGAGUGACGGUAAUGGGUAAAGAAGCACCGGCUAACUACGUG